GGGGCAAGCGUUGUUCGGAAUUACUGGGCGUAAAGGGCUCGUAGGUGGCCAACUAAGUCAGACGUGAAAUCCCUCGGCUUAACCGGGGAACUGCGUCUGAUACUGGAUGGCUUGAGAUUGGGAGAGGGAUGCGGAAUUCCAGGUGUAGCGGUGAAAUGCGUAGAUAUCUGGAGGAACACCGGUGGCGAAGGCGGCAUCCUGGACCAACACUGACACUGAGGAGCGAAAGCCAGGGGAGCAAACGGG
rnacentral:rRNA from 1 species